GAACUCUUAAAACUAUAUAUUAAACUCUAUUACAGAUUGUUUAUAUCUUGCUUAGUUUUCGAAAUAUUUCGACUGAAAAAAGUGAGCCGUAUGCCAUCUUGGAUUAUUGAGGAUAUGCAUGUUACGUCAAGAGAGGGGUCACGCUAAUUUUUUAUUAUGAGAGUAGCGAUCAAUAUGGGUCCAAAGCUUCGUUUCUGGUUGCUG
rnacentral:lncRNA from 1 species